UUGACUAGGCUUUCGUAUAGGAGUUAUGGGCAUUUCCAGGGGUAGUUUGAUGGCCCUGUAGGUAGUCUGACUCUUCUUCUGUACCAUGAACCUAAAAAAAACGCCCAUGAGAACCCGAUUGAUCUCUUUUCUGGCCUUUGGAAAUGGUGAAUGUGAGGUACGAAGCGCGCCUGAAAAUGUACUGACAUGAGUGUGCUUGGACUCUGAAAUGUUCAAGAAUUUCAAUUAGUAUGACCUUUAAGCCUGUUCAAUUCGUUCUUUUAUUGCUAACGACGUGUGGAAAAAAAGCUAAAGGAAGAGUUGUACGAGGUUGAGAAGCAGGCAGAAUUCUAUAGGUGUGUUAUGGAAACUUUAUUGCAUAUCAGCCCAGGGGUGUAUAAACUAACCUUAUAAUAAUAUUGCUUCUACAACUGCCGGCUCUCUCCCAUGCAUAAGUUGUAACAAAGAAAUAGUACAAAUAAAGGUGUUGGUUUGAAUUGAUAUAGUGAGUUUUUACACCAAUCCUUAUAUAAAACUAUACUGCCCUUUCCCAUGGAUAUAAAAUGACAUUCCAGAAGCCACCAAUUACCUUUUUUUUUAAUUGUAACAAAGAAAUACAAAUAAAUAUGUUGAAAAGAAUUGGUAUAGUGAGAGUUUAUAUACAACCACUAGCUUGCCCUUUUCCCAUGCACAUAUAAGAUAACAAACAUGAAACAACCAACUAGCUUUUUUUUAUAAGUUGUAACAAAGAAAUACAAAUAAAGAUGUUGAAAUAUAUUGGUAUUGUGAGAGCUUCUACAUCAGACCUUAUUAUACAACCACUAGCUACUGCCCUUUUCCCAUGCACAUAUAACAAACAUGAAACCACCAACCAUCUUUUUCUUUUCCAAGUUGUAACAAAGAAAAUGGAAAUAAAGAUAAACUGAGUUGAUAUAAUGAUUGCUCUGCCACACAUCCUUCCCUCUUAAAUUCUUUCCACAUUGCAGAACUAUUCAUAUAUUGAUAGUAUUUAAACACACAUUUCCCCCUGAUUUUUUUCACGUCGCAUUACUACUGAUAUAUUGAUAGUAUUUAAACGCAUCUUCCAGUGGUCCAGUGUAACAUGAUUGCCUCCUUUAAAAACAAGCUCGACCGACACUUCCUUCAACUUAACAUUAACUAUAGUAGAAAUGCAAAGUUUUGAAGCUAUCUGAUUAGUGUAGAAUCAUUUAGGUUUAAGGACAGAUCACCUAGUCUGGACCAUGGGGUGUGUGUGGUCUGAUUUUCUAUGUAAAUUUAUGUAAAUCUUAUUAUUAUGCAUGGCACGGGUCCUCCCUUCACCCCAAUAUGACAACAGACGCACUGCCAUAUAAGGACAAAUAUCUGAACUUGAGCUAAAUCUUUCAAGGUUGUUAUAAUUCUUGGUUGUCAUCCUCCUUCCCAACAUUCAUUACAGACCUUAUAUAGACAUUAUGGUCCUGAUGAUGUGCCUGUCUUAACAUAACAUUGCACAAUUCUAAGAAAAAAUAUAGUACCAUAUCUUACGUGGGGUGACAAAAUAAAUUAAUCAGCAAAACAGUUAUUUAUACGUGGCUCCAAGUUGCCUUUAACCCGUCCGCUGCGAUUGGCAUGGAUUUAGCCUUCAAUGGUAUCCUGGUAACAUAUACUCCCAGGUCUUUCUCUGCCUCUGUGGUGGAUAGUGGAGUCUUUCCCAUGUGGUAUUGAUAUGCUGGAUUUCCCCUCCCAAGGUGCACAACUUUACAUUUUUCUUCAUUGAAUUGUAGCAGCCACGUUUUGUUCCAUUCCUGUAGCUUGGUCAUGAUGUCUUCUUGUAGGAAAUCCGCAGUCAAGGAGUUAACUUAAAAAAUACCUUUCGCUAUGCACCAUCCGUACACUCCAUCAGGUUUAUGUACCUUGCAGCAGCACUCAAAAAGUGGGAAUACCAAGGAAAACUAGUACAUAAGAAAAAAGCCCUUGAAUCUAUACCCACCACCAGUCCAGGACAACUUAACUUAAUGGGAACAAUCUUUUGACAUUAUCUGGUGUUGCUUAAAAGAACAAAGGAAAUGAGGCACUUAUAAAUACAAGUAAAUGGCCAAACUAAGUAAGCAUCAAUCGCCUUACUUAUACAAAAAUAAUUACAUACUGUAGUCCAAUUCAGUUACGAAGGCUGUUUGGGUGGGGACAGUUCGGGGUGCUCCCUGGCCAUAGCCCUGACAAACCUUAUUUAACUUAUACAGAAUAUUUGGUACAUAAUUUCAAAUAGUACGUAGCUGACUUAUGAGAGAGAGUGAUGUACUGGGGGUGAUGUGGCAACACUGCAAAGAGGUUCAGGCCCCACCCAAACUGAGUUAACAUUUGUGUCAUACUAUAAAUCGUACAAUCUUCUUCACAUUUGGUAAAGGAAACAGGCACCCAAGUCUUAAUAUUGCUGCUAACUUCUUUGGCUCUGUGAAAGGAUGAUUUGGGUUACAUAGCAGUACUUGUAAUGUUUUGGUAACAGUAACACUAACAAAAUUUACUGAUAUGUGGAAGUAUGAUCGCUCGCAUGCACACACACACACAUAUAAGGUAAAAAAGAGGGAGAUAAUAUGAUUGCAGUGUUCAGGGUGAUGAAGGGAGUGGAUGGGUGUGUUUGCAUGGGAUGGGGUCCUAACUGGGGGAUAUGAAAUGAAACUGAGAAAGACAGAGUGCAUGAAAAUAACCAUCAAUAAAUAGUCUUCCCAAUAGAUGCAUUGACCCUUGGAAACAACCUGGGCCAAAAGGUUGUCCAGUUUCAAACAUAUGAAGCUAAAUUUGACUGCUUGAGACUCAGAGAUGGGACCCCACAAACACAAGCAAAGUAGCUCACUUCAUGUAUAUCACAGGCCAAUGCACAUAAACAUAAAUUUUUGUAUUGAUGGAUCUCAAAUUCAUAAUACAAGUGAACGAUGCACUCCUCAACAAUCAGUGUCUGACUACAGCCUCUUUGAAAAUAUGGAGUCUAUCCAUCCACAGAAAUGGUGCCCUCAAGGUACAAAAUGUGUAGUUUCAUUAAGUAAGGAAUGUGAAGGCACUGUUGCUGUUAAUUCAUUGCCCUAGAUACAACCUUAUAUCAAGAGGUCCUACAAGAGACACAUUAGAAGACUCAAGAGAUGAAUGAAGUGGGCUGAAAGUCAGUGCACACAUGAUUAGUUAUGUUAUUUAUUGUGGACUUUGCUUUGGGCUACUAGUCUGAAUAUUUAUGUUAAACAGAGGCAGUGGCUGGGUGGACAAAGCAUCAAAGUGACAGAUGACUAUGGUACUAACACUCCUGAGACAUUAGGAUAAAAGAUGUGUCCUGCAUCAUCCUGUGUACAAAUAGGGAACUAAGAGGAUCACAGUCCAUUGCUGAGGUUGGGGACUGACCCAUCAACUGUUUAUGCAAAGAAUACUUGUCAAAAUAGUCACAAGGCUGUUUCUAAAGCUGCAUGGGAAAUAGGGUCACUAACUAUCAUUUUUAUUGAUAAAUUUCCCUUUUACCUCAAAACAGAUCCUUGUGAAUGUUACUAUUUGUGAAAUAAAUCAAUUUAUAUGAAAAAAAACAUGGAAAUGUAUGAAUAAUGAUAUGAGAGCCUGUUGUAAAAACAGCUAAUAUACAAAGCAAAACUAAAUUUUUGUUGUAUCAAGUAUGUGAAAAAAAAAAAUCAGUAAAGUAGUGCUUUCAUUUAAUCCUAAGAAUGGUUAUACAGUCUUAGCUUCCUAACCUUGAGAUUGUUUAAACCCUCCCUGUUGCAUGAUAUGGUGAUAAAAUACCAAUACAAGAAUAAUAUGACAAAAAAUAAUAUGCCAUUUGCUCUCUACACUUUGUUCUGCAGCUUAAAGGCUUUAUGCACAUCAAAGUUCACACAGGAAGCUGGUGCUCUCAGAAACUUUAGCAUGCCUUAACACAUAACUAACACCUCCCAUAUAAUAACAAAGAGAACAUAUUUCAAACCAGGCAUUACCAGAUAUGCACUACAUCACUGGAGCCAGUACCAACCACCACAAAGAAAACCUGUAGCAGUGCCACUCAGAGAGCCAACAGUGGUGCAGUUAUUGCCUUCAGAAAAAGCAGCAGAUACCAUUUAAUGCAUAAAGUAUCAGCAGCAGCACUUUCCAACACACACACAAAGCUAAAGGUGAAAAAGAUUGCUACCUACAUGCAAUUAAGCAAACUUCAGCAACUCUUGUCAAUGGGAUCAUGGGCAGGCAACACAGGCUGAACACAAAAUAUGAAAAUUACAGCAUCAAUAUAAAAAUCACAAGCAUCAAUAACAGGUUCAUGCCAACCACCAGCAAACUUUAAGAUGGAGAGGGUAGCCCGCUGCUGCUGCAGGCAUAACAAAAUCUGCAUGCGGUCACACAGCAGCAGAGCUCAGUGCUGUGAACAUAAGAUGAAAGCCUCACUACUUUUAUCUAGUCACUGGGUUCACAACCAAAGCAGGAGCACAUGAAAUAAAUUAUAAUAGCAUGUGUGAAAUAGGUAUAGGAAGAGUUGAUAAGUAGCUGUGUAAACUCCAAAUUGAAGUUAAUCUAUAGCAUAUUACUGAAGUGGAUAAUCCUGUUGUGCUGACAGAGAGUGAAUGUUUUUCCUGAAAAUCUUGAGACAAAUAAAUAUUACUGAGCUAUUCUUAACACUUUCUUUUCUGUCAUAGCCAUGGUUCGAUGAAACACCUCUACAACAACACAAAAUUAAAAGUCAUCUUCCUGGCUAUAAAAGUUCACUAGCUCCCAAUGCUAUCUUCAAGGUGUGGUGAGUAAGACUGAACAAUGAGCUGUAAAAAACCUGCCGGCUGAGCACUUGUUAUUUUAGUAAGGUUGAUAGGAGGGGUAACCCUUUGUGGGACAUUACUGCAAAUAAGUUUAAAUGGAGACAUCAUAUGGCUAUAAGCAUUCAUCAAUAUGCAAAUAGUAGCCAUUUGAUAAUAUUCUUCCAUUGUGUCGGACUGUAUCACAUCACUUGAAGAUAAUUUUGUUAUUGUACCUUUACUGAAAUAUUUAUGCCUGCCUUAACUCAUCAUUUACAUUCUAACACCUAGUUAUUCAUGGCAAAGUGAGGGGUAUUACAAAGCUACCAAACUGGCCCUUGAUUAAUUUGUUUAAUCUACCAUCUGGCCAGAGUCAUGACUGAAAAAAAGUUAUAUUUUAUAUGAACUUAUAAUUCAACUGCAGUGUUUCUAUUUAAGCAAA